AGUGAACGCUGGCGGUAGGCCUAACACAUGCAAGUCGAACGGCAGCACAGUAAGAGCUUGCUCUUACGGGUGGCGAGUGGCGGACGGGUGAGGAAUACAUCGGAAUCUACUUUUUCGUGGGGGAUAACGUAGGGAAACUUACGCUAAUGCCGCAUACGACCUACGGGUGAAAGCAGGGGAUCUUCGGACCUUGCGCGAUUGAAUGAGCCGAUGUCGGAUUAGCUAGUUGGCGGGGUAAAGGCCCACCAAGGCGACGAUCCGUAGCUGGCCUGAGAGGAUGAUCAGCCACACUGGAACUGAGACACGGUCCAGACUCCUACGGGAGGCAGCAGUGGGGAAUAUUGGACAAAGGGCGCAAGCCUGAUCCAGCCAUACCGCGUGGGUGAAGAAGGCCUUCGGGUUGUAAAGCCCUUUUGUUGGGAAAGAAAAGCAGCAGGUUAAUACCCCGCUGUUCUGACGGUACCCAAAGAAUAAGCACCGGCUAACUUCGUG
rnacentral:rRNA from 1 species